AUAAUAUACUUCGAUUAAUUAUCAUGUCCCUCUCAAAACAUGCCUAGUAAAAUUCCAAAGGCAAGACAAAGAAGAUAACCUGGUCUACCAAUUGUAGAGGCCCACAAGUGAUCCAGGAAGAACCCCAUAGGCCAACGAGUGAUCAAGGAAGAACCCCAUCUUAAUAAAUAAUAAGUGAUGAAUCAUGUAAUAACUCAAAGAAUUUAGAAUCCCCACAUCAUAUUACUAUCGUCGAUAUCUUGUAUACUAUUUCCCGAAGCCAAACCAUUUUCCUAUG
rnacentral:lncRNA from 1 species